UGGGGAAUAUUGCACAAUGGGCGAAAGCCUGAUGCAGCGACGCCGCGUGAGGGAUGAAGGCCUUCGGGUUGUAAACCUCUUUCAGCAGGGAAGAAGCGCAAGUGACGGUACCUGCAGAAGAAGCGCCGGCUAACUACGUGCCAGCAGCCGCGGUAAUACGUAGGGCGCAAGCGUUGUCCGGAAUUAUUGGGCGUAAAGAGCUCGUAGGCGGUUUGUCGCGUCUGGUGUGAAAACUCGAGGCUCAACCUCGAGCUUGCAUCGGGUACGGGCAGACUAGAGUGCGGUAGGGGAGACUGGAAUUCCUGGUGUAGCGGUGGAAUGGGCAGAUAUCAGGAGGAACACCGAUGGCGAAGGCAGGUCUCUGGGCCGCAACUGACGCUGAGGAGCGAAAGCAUGGGGAGCGAACA
rnacentral:rRNA from 1 species